rnacentral:rRNA from 1 species
UGUAAGCGUAUACCAAAGUUGUUGCAGUUAAAACGCUCGUAGUCGGAAUUUGGCAGUUCCGGAAGUGCGCACGUCGUGUGCGCACUUUGCGGGGACUGCUUUUGUGGUCUUGCGUAGGAUGAGGCACUUUCAUUAGUGAACGUCCUCACGCAACCACUCUUUACUGUGAGAAAAUCAGAGUGCUCAAAGCAGGCAUUUGCCGUGAAUGUAUUAGCAUGGAAUAAUAGAAUAGGACUCGGUUCUAUUUUGUUGGUUUGUUGGGACUGAGUAAUGAUUAAGAGGGACAGUUGGGGGCAUUUGUAUUCCGGCGCUAGAGGUGAAAUUCUUAGAUUGCCGGAAGACAAACUGCUGCGAAAGCGUCUGCCAAGGAUGUUUUCAUUGA